GAACUAGAGAGUUUGAUCCUGGCUCAGGACGAACGCUGGCGGCGUGCCUAACACAUGCAAGUCGAGCGGUCUAAGUAAGCAACCUAGUUGAGAACUUAGAUAGCGGCGGACGGGUGAGUAACGCGUGGAGAACCUACCUUGUAGAGGGGGAUAGCCUCGGGAAACCGGGAUUAAUACCCCAUGACACUGAAAUACCGCAUGGUAUUUGAGUCAAAGCGAGCAAGCGCUACAAGAUGGCUCCGCGUCCCAUUAG
rfam:Garciella nitratireducens DSM 15102 genome assembly, contig: BP36DRAFT_scaffold00011.11